rnacentral:rRNA from 1 species
UACGUAGGGUGCGAGCGUUGUCCGGAAUUAUUGGGCGUAAAGAGCUCGUAGGCGGUGUGUCGCGUCGGCCGUGAAAACCUGCAGCUUAACUGUGGGCUUGCGGUCGAUACGGGCAUCACUGGAGUUCGGCAGGGGAGACUGGAAUUCCUGGUGUAGCGGUGGAAUGCGCAGAUAUCAGGAGGAACACCGGUGGCGAAGGCGGGUCUCUGGACCGAUACUGACGUGAGGAGCGAAAGCGUGGGGAGCGAACAGG